CUUAAGACCAUCUCUUUGACCUAGGGAUUAUUUAGAAGUUUGUUAAUUUCUAAGCGUUUGGAGAAUUUUCUCUAUUUCUUUCUGUUAUUUAUUUCUAAUCUAUUCCCAUUAUGGUCAGAGGACAUACUUUGUAUAUUCUUCUAGGUUUGUUUUAUGACCCAGGAUAUGGUCUGUUUUGGUAAAUGUUCACGUGCAAAAGGAUGUGUGUUCUGGGUGGAAUGAUUUUCUGUCACUAGUUCUAUCAGUUGUUGAGAAAGGACUGAUGCAGUCUUCAAAUGCAAAUGUAGAUUUGUCUGUUCCCAUUGUGAUCUCUAUCAUUUUUUCUUAUAUAUUAUGACAUUCUCUUGUCAGAUGCAAACACAUUUAGAAUUGUUAUGCUUUCUUGAUAAAUUGGCUCUUUUAUCAUCUUUUCCUUCUUUGCUGGUGUCCCAAGUUUCCCUCUGGUAUCAUUUACCUUAUGUCUCAAGAACUUUUAGUAAUUCUUUAGUAACAAAUCUACUGGAAACAUAUUUACUAAGUUUUCCUUCACCAAAUUUGAAGUUUUCAGGUAUUCUUUGUAUAUAUAUAUUUUUCAGCAUUGCAUUCUUUAUCCUCUCCUUCUACAGCUCUAAUGUCAUGAAUGUUAGACCUUUUGGCAUUGCCUCACAGGUCCCUCGGUUCAUUUUUUUAAAAAAAUAUGUUUUCUUUGUUGUUCAUUGGAUACUUUCAAUUGAUCUGUCUUCAAGUUCAUUGACUUCCCUUUGUUAUCUCUAUUCUGCUAUUAUCAAACCUAUCAAUGAGUUAAAAAAUUUUGUGGGGGCCAGGCAUGGUGGCUCACACCUGUAAUGCCAGCACUCUGGCAGGCUGAGGUGG
rnacentral:lncRNA from 10 species